GAAUUGAUGUCAGAAAAAUGUGUUAAUUUGUAAAAUUAAUUAUGGAGAGAUUCUCCUCAGUUCA
rnacentral:tRNA from 1 species